rnacentral:tRNA from 1 species
GGACCCGUAGCUCAGCCAGGAUAGAGCGCUAGCCUCCGGAGCUAGAGGUCCCGGGUUCGAAUCCCGGCGGGUCCG